AGAGUUUGAUCAUGGCUCAGAUUGAACGCUGGCGGAAUGCUUUACACAUGCAAGUCGAACGGCAGCACGGGAGCUUGCUCCUGGUGGCGAGUGGCGAACGGGUGAGUAAUGCGUCGGAACGUACCGAGUAAUGGGGGAUAACGCAGCGAAAGCUGUGCUAAUACCGCAUAUGCCCUGAGGGGGAAAGGAGGGGAUCCGCAAGGACCUUUCGCUUUCGGAGUGGCCGAUAUCGGAUUAGCUAGUUGGUGAGGUAAAGGCUCACCAAGGCGACGAUCCGUAGCUGGUCUGAGAGGACGACCAGCCACACUGGAACUGAGACACGGUCCAGACUCCUACGGGAGGCAGCAGUGGGGAAUUUUGGACAAUGGGGGAAACCCUGAUCCAGCCAUGCCGCGUGAGUGAAGAAGGCCUUCGGGUUGUAAAGCUCUUUCAGACGGAAAGAAACGGUCACGGCUAAUACCCGUGACUAAUGACGGUACCGUCAGAAGAAGCACCGGCUAACUACGUGCCAGCAGCCGCGGUAAUACGUGGGGUGCGAGCGUUAAUCGGAAUUACUGGGCGUAAAGCGUGCGCAGGCGGUUUUGUAAGACAGAUGUGAAAUCCCCGGGCUUAACCUGGGAACUGCAUUUGUGACUGCAAGACUAGAGUACGGCAGAGGGGGGUAGAAUUCCACGUGUAGCAGUGAAAUGCGUAGAUAUGUGGAGGAAUACCGAUGGCGAAGGCAGCCCCCUGGGUCGAUACUGACGCUCAUGCACGAAAGCGUGGGGAGCAAACAGGAUUAGAUACCCUAGUAGUCC
rnacentral:rRNA from 1 species